GACGACGUCAAAAGAGAAUGACCGAUUGGAGAAGACUAGGAUUGAGAAGAAUGCGGACACAAGAGAGAUUGAGUGACAACAGAAGAAAAUUGUAUAGGGAUUAAUGUUUGCUUGAGUCUUUUUUUUUUUUUUAAAUUUAUUUUCGUUUUAACAAAAUAAGUUUAGAUAAGAAAUUCUUUUUUUUUCUUACCAAAUCUGCUCCUAAGACUUAACUUUUGUUAAUUCUACUUUUUCAAAU
rnacentral:lncRNA from 1 species